CAAGUGUAAGCUUCCUAAAGCUCCUGAGCACUAAGUGGCAUACAAAGAGGAAGAUUAUUAUGUUGGCCGUGUGAGGAAUGGAUUGGACGGAGGUACAGUAGGGAAGGCAUGUGGACUAAGAGCCUUUUGGGUCUAGGUGAGGGGUAAAUAUGGUAGUAUGAGCUACUUACACCAUUCAGGCAGCAGUGGGAUAGGAAAAGAGGGAAGACAUCUUUGAUGUUGAUACACUCAUUGAAGGCACUAGUUGACCAGUUGGAUGUGAAGUCUGAGGAGGUUUAUGACCUCAGGCACACCCAUCCACACACAGAGCAGUCACCACCAGGGAAACAUGGUGGAUUGAGGAGAGAUGGCAGAAGUGACCCUCGCCUCAUCUGAUGACAAAGAAAGGAAAUGACUAGAACCGAUGAGGUCUAAAUGUAAUGGAGAGGAAGCUUCAGCAAUGAGCCAAGAGUCCCUCUGCUCACAGUUUUCCAAGGGAGAAAAUUACGGGAAGACACAGCUUCCGGCAUUUAGAAGUGAGAAUGUUUUCAUCAUCAAAAUAGUGAGGUCUAUUUUAAAUAGUUUGGCUAAUUAGGUGCUGAUUAAAUUGCAUUGCUCCCAUAUGUUUGUGCUUUCUUCUAUGCAGAGUUUAUCUGCCUGAAAAGUCUAGGUAAAUUAUGUGUCUAUGAAGGAAUUCUUUGAUACCUUGCACCUAGUAAGCACUCAGAAGUAUUGAGUGAAAUUAUUUUAUGAAGCUAAUUAU
rnacentral:lncRNA from 1 species